GUGGUGGUGGUGGAGUGU
rnacentral:misc_RNA from 1 species